rnacentral:lncRNA from 10 species
UUUUUUGGGGGGGUGAUAUGGUUUGGCUGUGUCCCCACCCAAAUCUCAUCUUGAAUUCCCAUGUGUUGUGGGGGGACCCGGUGGGAGGUAAUUGAAUUAUGGGGGCAGGUCUUUCCUGUGCUGUUCUUGGGAUAGUGAAAAAGUCUCACAAGAUCUGAUGGUUUUAAAAAGGUGAGUUUCCCUGCAUAAUCUCUCUUCUCCUGUCUGGUUCCAUGUGAGAUGUGCCUUUUGCCUUCCGCCAUGAUUGUGAGGCCUCCCCAGCCAUGCGGACCCGCCCAUAGGUGGAAGGGACUUGCCUUGUCUCGGAUGAGACUUUGGACUUUGGACUGUGGACUUUUGAGUUAACACUGAAAUGAAUUAAUGCUGAAAUGAAUUAAGACUUUGGGAGACGGUUGAGAAGCCAUGACUCAUUUUAAAAUGUGAGACAUGCCUUUCACCUUCUGCCAUGAUUGUGAGGCCUCUCCAGCCAUGUGGAACUGUAAGUCCAAUAAACCUCUUUCUUUUGCAAAUUGCCCAGCAAUGUGAAAACAGACUAAUACAGUGGGAGAUUACUUCUCCAUACCCUCUUUGUCUGCCAACCAUAUCACCUCUGCUGUUUCCUCUCCCCAAAAGGUAACCCAUGUUAACCUCUGAUUAUGAUCAAAUAAUUAUAUGUAUUUAUUUAUAUAAAUACCAUUUCUUUAUAUAUUUUGAACAUAUUAAUGCAUACACAAGUGUGCUAAAAUUUAUA